GACGAACGCUGGCGGCGUGCUUAACACAUGCAAGUCGAACGGAAAGGCCCUUCGGGGUACUCGAGUGGCGAACGGGUGGGUAACACGUGGGUGAUCUGCCCUGCACUUUGGGAUAAGCCUGGGAAACUGGGUCUAAUACCGAAUAGGACCACGCGCUUCAUGGUGUGUGGUGGAAAGCUUUUGCGGUGUGGGAUGGGCCCGCGGCCUAUCAGCUUGUUGUUGGGGUAAUGGCCUACCAAGGCGACGACGGGUAGCCGGACUGAGAGGGUGAGCGGCCACACUGGGACUGAGAUAGGGACCAGACUCCGACGGGAGGCAGCAGUGGGGAAUAUUGCACAAUGGGAGCAAGCCUGAUGCAGCGACGGCGCGUGAGGGAUGACGGCCUUCGGGUUGUAAACCUCUUUCACCAGGGACGAAGCGUAAGUGACGGUACCUGGAGAAGAAGCACUGGCCAACUACGUG
rnacentral:rRNA from 1 species